rfam:Lactobacillus harbinensis DSM 16991 NODE_308, whole genome shotgun sequence.
GGAGGAUUACCCAAGUCCGGCUGAAGGGAACGGUCUUGAAAACCGUCAGGUGGGAAACCACGCGUGGGUUCGAAUCCCACAUCCUCCU